GACGAACGCUGGCGGCGUGCUUAACACAUGCCAGUCGAACGGAAAGGCCCUGCUUUUGUGGGGUGCUCGAGUGGCGAACGGGUGAGUAACACGUGAGUAACCUGCCCUUGACUUUGGGAUAACUUCAGGAAACUGGGGCUAAUACCGGAUAGGAGCUCCUGCUGCAUUGUGGGGGUUGGAAAGUUUCGGCGGUUGGGGAUGGACUCGCGGCUUAUCAGCUUGUUGGUGGGGUAGUGGCUUACCAAGGCUUUGACGGGUAGCCGGCCUGAGAGGGUGACCGGCCACAUUGGGACUGAGAUACGGCCCAGACUCCUACGGGAGGCAGCAGUGGGGAAUAUUGCACAAUGGGCGGAAGCCUGAUGCAGCAACGCCGCGUGCGGGAUGACGGCCUUCGGGUUGUAAACCGCUUUCGCCUGUGACGAAGCGUGAGUGACGGUAAUGGGUAAAGAAGCACCGGCUAACUACGUG
rnacentral:rRNA from 1 species